AGCACAUAUGUGUGAGGGAACCUUUACCUUUACCUUAAUUUCGCAGAAGAUUUGGUGAAACCUGAGCACCUUGUGGCAGUAGAAAAAUUUGAACUCAGGACAGUGAUAUGUUCAGUCACUUAUCCAAAAUCUGGUAAGAAUUCUGUAAUAUGAUAUGAGCAAUGUAUAUUUAAAUUUCAUACUGUAAUUAAACUUUCUCUUUGAGAAGUUUCUUUCUGUCCCUCCAUAUGUUUUAAAUAAUAUAUAUUGUUGGAAAUCAUUCUGCAAUUAAUAGACAUUAAUGCUGAAAGGGUAUAUAAUUCGGUAAAUUAAAAAAAGAGUAUCUAAAUAAUUCUCCAUGUUGGCAUCCUUUACUGAGCAAGAGAAUUCUGCAUAAUAGAGUCUUGCUUUCAGGAUGUUUUGAAAUUAUAACCAGGUAAAUAUCCCUAUUCUUGAGUUGGAAAACCUAUCCAGAAACAAAAGAUUUAACUUCCUUCCUCUGCUUUGACCCAAGAGAAAGAAGGAACUUUUUCUAUACUACAAACUUGGUGCUCUUUACUAUUCAUCCCAUAAUUUUCUCCAUCUCACAUUUUUAAGCCAGAAAGAAACCACUGAUCUCUUGCUUUCAAGGACAUUUUAGAGAGAGGAGUUUCAAGGAUAGUUUUUUCUGAAAAACAAUACUUUUUCUCUAGUUUUAUUUUUUUUUUGAAAGAAGAGGUAGGAAGAAAUGCUGAUUUCCAUCCAAGCAGGAGUUGGACCUUUGUCAGAUAUUCUCUUUGCAAAAAAAAGUCACAUUUUUAUCUUGUGAAUAGAUAAGUUGGACUAGGUUAAUUUAGUUUGUAAUUCUGUAUCUGUAAUUGUGGCCUUUGUCAGUUCUCCUCCUUUCACAAAUAAAUGCCUCUGUUUUGGACUCUGAAACUUUGUUAUCUUUGAAACAGGCAUUUUUAUUAAAACCUUGCUUACAGAACAGACCUCAUUGACUGAAUGACUCUCUCUCCUACUUCAUUCUUUUUUAAAGGUUUUGGAGAAUUCUCUAUGCUGUGGCUUUGAAUGUUCUGUUCCUGUGAUGAAGAGAAUCUGAGAAUUCACUUGGAAUGUUACAACAGAUGCUGCAACAGAGAAGGCUCUUUUCCCCAUUCUUACAUAAUUCUUCUCCCAGCCUUGUGUCAUAGACCAGUCUCCAAGCAAACUUUGUUCCAUUUUGUCAUGAUGAACGGAAACAAAAAAAGAGUUUUUCAGAAAAGGAGUUUUUGCUCUUCCAAUGGGUAAUGCUGUAAAAUGAUUUGGAAGAGUCAAAUCAAACAACUCUUGGAUGCUAUUGAUAAAACCUCUGAGACUGAAAACACACACAAUAGUGAAGACUUCCUCAAUUAACUCCAUUGAUAUACCCAUGAAGCCAUGGAAACAUGAUUUUUUAAAAAAACAACAUGAUUGACCAUAAACGUGGGAACAAUUGUCAAUUGCUCUAUUAUUAUAUCAACAGGUUAAA